UUUCAUGAGCCCUAUCACGCCUUUGUAGCAUAAAUUAUCAUCUCUACUUCUCACAUAAAUCGUGGUUUUAUGUAUUAGGAAAAAGGCUACAGGUAAAGUGUAAGCUUUUAAAGAAGCAUAGACCUUUCUCAAAUGUCACAUGGAGACACAAAGCACUAUCAUCAUUUUCUCUUUCCAUUUUGGAUGUUAGGAAAGAAAAAGAACAAUGGAAAAAAGUUUAAGAGGUUGGCCGCAACAUUUGCAAAGGAAUAACAGGCCAACAUCAUGAAUAAAAUGCUAGUCAAGUGUCUCUCGGUUAGCAGCAAUCAUAAUGAUAUUUCAAAAACUGAGUUCUCCACUUCCUAAAAGCUCCAUGAAUCACAAUUCCAAAGGGAGCUUCAGCAUGUAAUUAUUGCCCCUUCAGCGUCCCCGAAGAUAACUUUGUUCAACUAGGUUGUAUCUGUGUAAGCACAAAGCCCAUAAAAUAUUUGUCCAACAUCAAAGUUCACACUUCCAAGUCAAGAGUCAAACUCAGAUCGCUAAAACAACAAAGCGGCAGAAACAAAGAGAAAAGGAUGAUUAUGGAAUAUCAAGAUCCAGAAGAUGAGACAGCUAAACAAGAAGAAAGGAUAUUGAAUUCGCAUGCCAACUGAACUAGAGCUCGGUAUGACAGCACCCUGCAAAUUCUGGUGCACAUUGGUGGCGCUAUUCACUUGCUGCAUAUACAAAGGGCAGAAGUUGAUACUCGAAAAGGAGCACAGAAUGUGCACACAAACUAAAGAUGAAUCGAGAAGAAUCUUGCACGGGAUAAUACGGAACUUACUUCAAAUUCGAUGAAACACACUGUAUGUCUUUCCUGUCUCAAAACCUUCAUCUCCUUGAAACCAGGUUGUCUGGUAGUUCAUUAAGCAAAUGAAUAGAUUAGACAUAAGAGGGAGACAUAAAAAUAAGAAAUAAUACUUCCGCAUAAACAGAAUAGCAAAAGCCAUACCCGCUGAUAAGUCCCCACAGCUCUUCCUCAUUUAUAUUCUCUCCAAGAUUGCCAAUGAACAGGGUAUUGCAAGCAGGGUUGUCUUUAGUAUUCUACAAGAAAGGAAAAAAUAGAUCAGCGGAUAAAGCAAAACACAAACUAUACCAUAAAAGGUGCAGAAAUCUUCAGAACAAGCAUAUACUGCACAAAUGCUACAUCCACCAGCUAUAUAGAGCAGAACUUUGUCUCAACAAUAUCAGCAGUAACAGUCUCCAAAUGAUCAGCAAAACACAACACUAUUAAACUGAAGGAAGUCAGAUAAGACAAACUUAACAAUAAAGUUAAUACUCUAGCCGUAAACGAAUAUGCCAUAGUAAACCCAGAUCAAAAACAGAAAUAAGACAACCUAAAAAGAAACACUAAGAGAAGGCACGCUGGAAAAUAUGUCAACCCUUAGUUCUCUGUUCUAACACAAAUCACAUUGCAGAGACAUGCAUGCAUCACCUGGACUGGCGCAUAACUGCUUGGUGCUGACACAGGAGCAGGCGCCGACACUGGCAUGUGAGCAACAGGGUAGCCUCCAUAAGGAUUGUAUGGUGGAGGACCUUGAGUGAUACACCUGAGACACAAACUACCUUACUUUUUUUUUUCAUUUGGGGGUAGAUUGAGGAUUUGAAAUAAAGGAGAUAAAAUCACUAACUACUAAUAAAAUAAAUCAUAAAACCCCUUUCAACUUUCUUUUCUUGUUUCUCCUAGAAACCUGAUUAUAUAUAGUUCAGAAAUUAGCUCUAAACUGCUAGAACUAUCAAUUCCUAUCAAUAUCACAUUUUUCGUCAUAAUGUUGUUUUAAGAUGCAAAAGAAAAUUUUGCAUUUAGAAGAACUCUUACCCAUGUGGUGCCCAGACAGGUGCCGGGGGAGGGUGGAAAGGAGAGGGACUUGAAUAACCAGUGUGUGUUUAAUCACCUCCAGUACGCAUACGUUUACUAGGGUCAUGUGCAUUUGAAUCAGCUACAAUUCCUGCAGGCAUAUCAAAUAAGAAGAGCCUACUGUAACGUUGUUUGUCAUACAAAUAGUUGAAUCCUGCAUAAACACAGUCGUGACAACCUAAACAAGCAAAUAAAUAAAAGAGGAGUCUCGGCAAUGGAGAUCAACAAAGAUGGGAAGAAAGGUGAAAUUGAAUAAGUAAAAUGUGAAGAAAAUUAUUAGGCCACUAGGAUUUCUUUAUGUAUCUUGAUGUAUUAUCUAAAGAUAAAAACUACACCUAUUAAAUGGAGGUUAGGUUAGUGGUGAACCAAGAAGGCUGAUACACUUGCUAAAUAACGGUGGGUGAAACCACUAGAGCAGAUUAUCUCCAAGGAUCUAAAAGAUUAACCACAAAUUAUGAAAUUUAAGAAAACUCGCAACCAUUGAAAUAAAAAACAAUACAAAUCAGAAAAAGACAGAGCUGCAAAGUUGAAUUUGACACCUCAAACCAAUACAAAUCAGAAAAAGACACAAAGCUUGUGCUUAUAACUCGAACAGACAUUGGCAUUUCUCUGUUAAAACUUUGCCUAUCUCACUUUCGAUUAGAGUGCUUUGACUUUGGUGCUGCGAAUCACUAUCUCAUGCUACUGCCUACUAACUUGGUUUAAAAUCAAACAGGCUUACCCUAAAGGAUCUCCUUUAGUUGCUGAUGUGUCACGUGCAGUCAACGAACUAACAGAGAAUGGGAAGAUCCUGGAAAUGGAGCGAAAUUGGUUGAGAAAUGAACCAAUCCGUGCAGGACCAGACAACAGCAUAAACUCAAUCACGAUCUCAUUGCAAAGUUUCAAAGGCCUUUUUGUCAUUACAGGCGGAGUUACAGCAGUAUGCCUCCUCAUUUUCAUAGCCAGCUACCUCUACAAGUACAGAGAUUUCCACCAGAGAAUCUCAAAUUCACAAACCACGAUUUGGUCAAAAGUCGUAGCAAUUAGCAGACACUUUGAUGGUCUCUAUCAUCCGGUCAACCACAAGAUAAACUUCCAGAAUCUGGAAUUACUCAUAAUAAUUCUUCAGAAAAUUCUAUCCAACCAACAGAUUUGCCAAUACAUCAUCAUCCCAACUCCAAUGAUAUUGUAUCCUCUGCACCAGAAGACGUACAGGAUGCUAGUGGAACAAUUCAUUAUUCGAAUUUGGAAGACAUGUCUGCUGCACAACACUCAGGAGUAGUCCAUCCAUCUGCAUAACUGAACUAAAGAUAGUUGUAGUUUUCAUUGUGCAAUUUUCGGUUUCUUUUUUGCCUUUUCUGGGCCAGUAAAGUUGCUCUGUACGUAUUACCAACUAAUUGUGCAGUUCUAUCUUCUUCUUCUUCCUUCAACUAAUAGUUCCAACUAAUGAAACUCAGAAAGUCACUCAACUAAUAGUUAUUAUCAGAAAGUGAGUUUCUUUGUUGAAGAAAAUUCAAAACAGGAUAGAUAAUUGUGUAACCUCCUGGAAGAUAUUACUGCCAGCAAACAAAAUAACGAACAAAUAUUGUAAAACAGAGGAUAAAACCAGAAACCAACAGAAUUUUCACAACUUACAUCACUUACCCAUUUAUGAUCCAAUGGAAUGGAUUUUUAGAGGAGAAGUCAAGUUAUUAAACAGUGAAACACAAGUGAAAAUCGAGAGAAGUGAUGCUGUAGCCCGGAAGAAAACAACACUACCACAGAAUCUUUCAGAACUACGAGGCACCCCAAAGGUAUCUGAAGAGAAUUGCCCAAUAUGCCAAAAUCUGCAUGUAACCCGAGAAUUUCUGUGUGCAGUUUUUGAAUAUGCAUUCUAAUUGCCAACUCCACCCUAGCAUCGUUAUAUCGUCUGUCACUACCAACAGCAGCAAAAAGAAGAAAUAAUCAUUCAAUUUCUCUUGCCCCAUGCAUGCUUAAUUUUAAUCUUUACAAGAAGAUGUAGGAGCAGAACAAACAAAAAGUUCCCAUUGUCAAAGAGUACAUAACUCAUUCCUAUUAAGUACAUCCAACCAGACAGGAUCAGAUUUCUUCCAAAUACAUGAAAAGAUGAGACUAGAGACAACCACACCAAAUAACCAAAAAGAAGCUUAAACCCGAAUUAACAAUUAUUGAAAUGAGAUAAUGGAAGAACAUCUGCUUCUGUGCUUUACUAUGUGUUUGUGUGAUAUCUUGUGCCUGAGCCGGGGGUCUUUCGGAAACGGCCUUUCUACUUCAUCAGAGGUAGAGGUAUGGACUGCGUACAUCUUACCCCCCCAGACCCCACUAAGUGGGAAUACACUGGGUUUGUUGUUGUUGUUGAGAUAAUGGACUCGAAGCACUGUUGGAAACGUCAGAUAUCUGCUGUCAUGAACUUCACAGAACAAAUACGAAAUAGUGACAUCGGAUGAUAUUCUGAUAAUUGUGGAAUCCAGUACAAGAUUAAGAUAGCAAUACAAGGUAAUAAAAUACUUGCUGAAGAAAGAGAAAAUAAAGGGAAGAUAAAGCCACAGACAGAGAGAAAUAUCUUAACCAACUUUUCCGACCGCUACUCUACCUACUCGCAUUAUUCUAUUUAAACCAGUGCUACCUCGCCCACGCCUGUUGGCAACACCGCAGAUAUAAUUAGCCAGUUUCUGAUUUGGUAAUCGCACCCUUUUGCUUCUUCUUGGCAGAUUGCCAAGUCCACUUGAUGGCUCAUUUUCACAGCUUGCCCCAACAACCUCAUCAGUUAUUAGGCCCAGAUUUGUGAAAAAAUAGUUACUCAACUCCUGUUGCUCCAUACAUGUAAAAUUUUGCAUUUCGACUUGCUUUAACUUAUGCCUCCAACAUUUCCGAGUUAAAGAUGUGCAACAAGGCUUCUCAUCUUCAUCUGAUGCAUCUUCAAAAAUAAACUGUAAAGCCAAGAAAAUCAGCAUGUAAGGACUAUGUACAACAAGAGCAAAGUUAAAAAGAACUGUCUUCAUGCUUUAAAUGUAUCGGGUUUAGUUUUUGACCGCUUUGACCGCUCGAAAACAAUACUCUCUUUCUUUAAUCGGAGCAACAUUUUCUUGAAGGGUUAAGACUCUUGGUUUUAUUCAAUGGGCAACACUUUGCCCUAAUGUUGACAGACUUAUAAGCGCGAACCAACAACAAUUAACCAGAAAAGAGCUAUGUUGCUUGGAUUCUCCAAAUAUAUUGUUGUACCCGUGUUGGAUCCUCCAACAAUACACUACUUUUGGAGGAUCCGACAUGCACAUGUCGACAUUUUUGAAGAGUCCGAGCAACAUAGGUAAAGAGGCCAUAUCACAUUAUGUGGUAAAAAGAUUCAUAUAAACAAAUUUUAAGGGCUAAGAAGAAUUUCACAAAUUCAAUUAUCUCUCUACAGGCUUAAAUUGACCAGUUAGCAGGUAAUUGCAAUGUUAGGUCAAGAAACCAAUUCCAAUGGUGCUAUGCUAGACACUGAAUCAAGAGGCUUGUAAAAACAAGGAAGAAUUUACCUUCAGGGUCUUUAAGUCAGCCUGGUGAAAAGAUAAGGUGUCCAGUUGAGGAGAAAUCCAAAGCAAACUGUCAACAAUAUCCGCAGCUGAAUACUUCAAUUUAUUUUGAAAUUUUACAUGCGAACGGUCAGUACCAUAAAGCGGAGGCACUAAGCUUUCCCUCAUGUCGGAGAAAAAGAAACAACUUAUUAGAAAUCCCAGCAGCUAGCUUCUUCAAGCUGUGUAUCUAAAGACUUUGAAAGACAUAAUACCUCAUCAUUUUUGCUUGAUAAUUCAACAGCCCUGUAGGGAUUGAUAAUAAACACCUUUAGAUGACUACAUCUCAAGGUCCACAAGGUUAGGUGCUCUAAUAUCAACCUCGUCGAAUUCAGGAGGGCAAGCACUAAAUCCCAAUUCUACCUUUUUUAGCUUGGAUACUGGUAGGUCCUUCAAAGCAAUGCAAAGACAAGAGCUGUAAAUUGGAGCAGUUUGUGGAUAGAUAGGUGAUCCAAAAGUACAAAUUGGAGGUAAAGGGUGUGCAAAGAUGAAAACUUGAUAGGAGGAUUAGAAGGGGGUAAUUCAAUCUCACAGCCUCUCAAAAGUAGAAGAUUGAGUAAAGAUGUUGUGAGGCAGAGUGGGGUAGUGGUAAUCCAGAGUCUUAGCUGUGUCCAUCAUUGUAAAAUCCAAAGCGACGAGGGCUUCAAACAUAUUGUCGAUUCCAAAAAAGCAAAUAGGGAAAGCGUAGGUGAUUUUGGCGAAUUGUUAGAAGGUGAGUAACAAAGUUGAUGCGCCUUGUCCACAUAAGUCAUAGGAAUUCCCAAAGUUUAAUGAGAGUGAUUUCCAGGCACGGUUACCGGACCCAUUACUGCACCAUCUUUAACUUCAAGGAAUGACAGGAUGUGAUGCAAAAUUUCCUCCGGCAACUCCGAAAUUCUGUCCGGCCCGCACCGCCGCCGCCUCGUCAUACUCAAAUUGUAGGUAAUCACUAAUUGAAACUAAAUAGUUAAAAAAUAAAAAAAAAAAAGGGAACGGUCGUUUUAUAUUAAAAAGAAAGUAACCAAAUAAAUUGAAAUUGAGUGUCCUCGGCUACGGCCAUAUAUAUAGAGAGAUCCAAACAAACUACAGUAUUUCCCAAAUAUCGUAGGACAUGGCUUAGUAGGCCUUCGUUUACCAAACCUACAAGUACACUGAUUUCCCAUAUAUAAAACGAAUUCAACACACAACUAAAACAAAACUCAUCCAAUCUGUUCUCAAGUCCUAUACUAAAAUCUUGUUUGGCUUACGUUUAUUUUUUCUCAAAAUUACUUGUUUCCUUUAUUUUAUUUUACUUGUUAAUUUGCUAUAUCCUUUAAAAAAAUUAAUUAGAAAUAUAUUUUACUAAAUUUAAAGAUGUUUUAAAAUUCUAAAUAGCGCAAGUAAAAUGGAAAGGAGGAGAUGUUUUUAAAAAAUAGAUGUUUGACCAAUCUUUUGAAAGAAAAUAAGUGCUUUUAGCGAGUAGUGAAACAAAAACAAACUAUUUCUUAUCAAAAGCAUUUUUGUUUUAAAACAUUACCUUUCAGAAUAAGCUAAUUUUAAAAGUUUGAUCAAACAGACUAGAAGCCUAAACCAAAUCGAAAAUUUUUGUGUGCAUUACAUUAAUUAUAAUUACCGUAAAUAUUUUUUGUAUUUUAUUAAUAACAUAAUACAUUUCUUAUAAAUUAUUAUUACAUAAUGUUUGAGCAUGUUAUUACAGAGAGUUAACUUUACAAAGACUGUAUCGUUAUAAUAAACAUUAUUGCUAUUAUAGGUAGAAUGUCGCUAUAGAAAAGUAAAAUAUAAUAUGAAAAAUCUGUUUCGGAGAAAAUCAAACUGUUAUAGUAAAAUGUCGUUAUAAUGAGAUGAUGUUAUAAAGAGUUUUCAUUGUAAAUGAAUUGUUGAAUUGUGCCACACCCUUCAACAAGAUCUUUAAAAACAUUAAUCAAAAUGAAAUUUGUCAAUAUUACCAUUUUGAUUCAUUCGAAUGUUAAAUGUCAUUAACGAAUUUGCGCUAUCUGUCACGGCGUUUUAUGUGUUAAUUAACACUUUUUUACCACUUUAAUUUUCUCAGCCAAUUAUCAAGACUUGAUUACUCAACGUAAUGAACUCCAGGGUGAAGUCAAAUUCAUGUAAAAAAGUUGCAAUCCAUGCACCCUACACGCUAAGUUGCACGGUGAGCCUAAUAUUACGUGGAAAUCAUCAGAGGUUAAAUCAUUGAUUGCACAAGAAAACCUUCACUAUGCCAUUGUAGGAAAAUUUUGUAUGGCAAAUCGGAUAUUAGCACUCUGAGAAAAAACAUCCCUAGUCAAUGUUGUGUUAAGCAAGAAUGUACGAUUGGAGUUCUGGAUACUAGGCAUAUAUUAAUCAGAUUAACAAGUUUGGAGGAUUACAUUCAAAUGUUAUCAACAGCAGCCUUCUAUAUCAAGUCACGAGAAAGAUAUUGGUAGAUGAGAACUCUUAAAUGGGACCCAUGGUUUGAACCAGAUAUUGAAACUACAAUAGGAGUUGCAUGGAUUUCUUUUCCAGAUCUACCACCUAAUUUUUUUUGCAAAGGAGGCAAUAUAUUCAAUUGCUUCUACAGUUAGAAAACCAUUAAAGGUAGACAUGGCUACUAGGAAUCAAACAAGGCCUAGUUGUGCCAAAGUAAAGAUAGAAGUGGAUCUGAUAGCAAAACUACCCCAAAGAGUCAGAAUCAAUGAGGAAAACGAUGACACUAGUGAAAUUAAAUUCAAGUGGAUUAAGAUUCAACACGACUAUAUGCCUAAGUAUUGUAAAGAAUGUUACAUGCAAGGACAUGAUAAGGCGACUUGUUGGACAAUUCACUCGAAAUUAUUUGAAGCAAAAAAAGAAGAGGAUAAUAAAGAGACUCUAAAUGAAGAAGGAAAGGGAGCAGCGGGGAAAAACAAUCACAGUAAUCGAAGACAAUAUGAAAGGGGAAUGAGUCAUUUGUAAAAACAAGAAUGGAUGACAAGGAAAAAUAAGUAUAAGAAGGAUAGGUAUGGCCAUAUAGAAGGAAAAAUAGAGUAUAAGGAUGAAAAUCCUUUUGAAGCCUUGAGGGAAGAAGGAGAAAAAAAUAGGAUAAAUCAGAUGAUGCUCAAAAUAAGAUGUAAACAAAGGAAUGGGUUAAUUAAGUUUUUAGUAAAGGUAAUGUAGCAGACAAAGCAAAGGAGAAUCAGAAUACAAAGGGAACUAAGAAUGAUGCAAGUACAGUUGGCGCUGAGGUGAAUAUACAAUAUCACAAAAAGGAUGAUACAGAAGAUCAACAACCGUCUGAGGAUAUAGAGAAUAAGGGGGAAAGUAAAAAGAAAGAAGAGACUAAACUCCCUGGCAACGAACAAGAAGAUGUAAUACAUGAUGCUAAUGAUAAAGCUAUAGUCAUGUUUGAAGAGCAUAUGAAUGAUGAUUUAACUUUAGCUAUUAGUAUGGAUGAUAAUAUUGACAGGGAAGAUCUGAGGGGCACUAUAGAAGAUGCUAAAGUAUCGGCAGAUCUAUCACCAAAGCAGAAGGAUAAAUUGAAGGAGCAGCUUUCUAAACAUAAGAAGAAAGGGUCUGGAGAUACAAUAACGGCACAAGCUAAUUUUACACAGUCAAGGAGAAUAAUACAAAGUCCAUCAAAUAUCAAAUGAAUGCACUGAUAUGGAUUAUUAGGUCAGUGAACACUCAAAAAGCGUUCACUAGACUAAUAAAUUUGUAGUAAAGACAUCACUUUUACUUUAUUGGGCCCAUGAAACUAUUUCAAGAUAAGCAACAGUUAGAUAGGUAUAGAAGAAAGUUGGGAUUGAAGCAUACUAUCGUGAAUACCAAUGGAAAAUUUUGGUUCUUUGCGGAUGAAUAUAUAGAUAUGGAAGUGAUAAAUGAUGAUGAUCAACAGAUUAGGUGCCAGCUAAUGAACUAAGAAAGUGUUACGGAAAUGGUAGUUACUUUUGUUUAUGCUAAAUGUACGCAAAGUGAGAGACUUCAAUUAUGGAAUUCUUUAUUUCACAUAUCUCAUAAUCUUCAAAUUCCCUAGCUAGUAGGAAGGGAUUUUAAUGUUAUUAUUAAUGAGGAGGAAAAAUGGGAGGUCUUCCAGUUACAGAAGAGGAGACAAUAGAUUUUAACCACUAUAUCAAUAUAUGUAUAUUGGAAGAUAAUGGGUAUAAAGAAAACAAAUUUACCUGGUGGAAUGGUAGAACGGAUGAUGAUUGCAUCUUUAAAAGACUUGAUAGGUUAUUAUGUAAUGAGAAGAUCCAAGAAUUGUUCCCGAAAAUAAAAGUGGAGCAUUUGAUUAGAAGUGGUUCUGAUCAUGCACCAAUGUUGAUUUCAUGUAGCACUGAGGUUGAGCAAAUAACUAAAAGUUUUAGAUUCCUAAACUUUUGGUUAAAGGAAGAUUCAUUCAUGAAUGUGGUCAGGAAGAAUCGUAAAUGCUGACUUUUCAGCAAAUCCUUUCAAUAUUUUUAUUAUAAACUAAAAAAGUUCAAAACAACGAUGGCACAAUGGAGUAGGGAAACCUUUGGUAAUAUUUUUCAGGAAGUUAAAACUAUGGAGGAGGUCAUUAAGAUGAUGGAGGUUCAAUUUGAAGCAGAUCCCUCAGGAAGAAAUAGAGAAAAGCUGCAAGAGGCACAAGCUAAUCUUAAUAAAUAUUUACAUAGAGAGGAGGAGUUUUGGAAACAAAAAGCAAGAAUGGAGUAGUUUAAAGAUGGGGAGAGAAAUACUAAAUUUUUCCAUUCAGUUGUGAAAGGGAGAAGGAGUAGGCUUAAAGUGAGUAGAAUCCAGAUGAGGAGGGGAAAGACGAAGAAUCAGAAAGACAUAGCAGAAGCUGCGGUGAAAUUUUAUAAUAAUCAGUUCAUGGGGCAAGAUCAUGACAUAGAUUGGGACAUUCUAAAUGAUCUUCCCAAGUUAAUUAAUGAAAAUGCUAGUGUGUUGAUGCAUAGUAUAACAUCAAAAGAAGAAAUACAUCAGGCAGUUAUGGGACUCAAUAGAACCAGUGCAAAAGGACCUGAUGGAAUGACAGGAGCUUAUUAUCAAGAUACCUGGGAUAUUAUUGACGAUGAUGUUUAUGAAUUGGUUAAGGAUUUCUUCAGUGGAGCAGAUUUGCCAAGGUAUGUAACACAGACGAAUUUGGUUUUAAUACCAAAGAAGCCUGUGGUUACUACCUUUUUGGAUUUUCGCUCAAUAUCAUUGAGCAAUUUUGUGAAUAAGAUAUUUUCACGGAUUGUUCAUGGAAGAAUCAAAUCAGUUUUAUCAAUUAUAAUAUCCAAGGAGCAAGCUGGUUUUAUGCAAGGAAGAAGUAUCACUGAAAAUGUAUUGUUGGUGCAAAAGAUUAUUUCAGAAAUCAGAAAGAGGGGCAAGUAUCCAAACUUGGUCAUAAAAUUGAAUAUGAUGAAAGCAUAUGAUAGGGUUGAAUGGAUGUUUUUAAUGAAAGUUCUUCACAAAAUUAAUUUCAGUGAGAAAUUGAUUGAUUUAGUAUAUAGAUUGGAGGAGAAUAAUUGGUACUUAGUUCUACUGAAUGGACAACCUAAAAGCUUUUUCAAAUCUGCUAGAGGCUUAAAGCAAAGGGAUCCCCUAUCCCCUACUUUAUUCAUCAUAGCUGCUGAAGUAUCAUCUAGAUCCUUAAAUUCCUUAAUGAAAAGUAAGGAGUUUAAAGGAUUUAAAGUUCCAAGAGAAAGCCUAAGGGUAAAUCAUCUUGCAUUUGCAGGUGAUAUGAUUAUCCUUUGUAAGGCUGAUGUGAGAACUAUGUAGAUGGUUGCCAAUGUUUUAGAAAAAUAUGAGCAGCUUUGAGGCAGAAAGUUAACAAAGAAAAGAGUGUCAUUUAUUUACAUCAUAAAACAUCAGGUGGGGAUGUGGUGACUGCUGAAAUAGCAACAGGUAUUUUAAGGAAAGAUUUUCCUUUUACAUACCUAGGAUGUCCGAUUUUUUACAAAAAAAAAAGCAGAAGAAUUAUUAUCAAUAAUUAAUUCAGAGGGUUAGUUCAAAAUUACAGGAUUGGAAGGGUAAGUUGCUUUCUUACGGGGAAAGAGCCAUUUUAAAAAAACAUGUUUUGCAGAGUGUUACAAUUCAUUGUUUGUCAAUGAUGAAUCAUUCGUUAAAUGUUUUUAAUUAGAUUUAUAAAAUUAUGGCUCAAUUUUUUUCGAGUAGUUGUAUAGGGGUAGAGGGAGACAUUAGACAAGAUGAUCUAAUAUAUGUCUACCUGUACAAGAAGGAAGAAUAGCAUUCUGAUACAAGAUCAACAAGGAAGACACUAACACACACUAAAACAGUCCAUGAUUUGAAGAACCGAGGACCCAUUUUGGUGACCUCUCUCGGAUUCACUACACAAUAACAAUACAAGCACGAUAACAACAAGAUUCUAAGGUGUUCAACACCUAUAAUCAGUGAGCCACAAACUAAGAUUACAACACAAUAACAAGAACAAAAAUGACACAACAAGGUCUCGGGUUUGGACACCCAAAACCGAGAAUGAACACAACAACAAUAAUAAGAUAGAAUGAUAGACAACUUGACACACAAUGCACAAACACUAUGAACCAAAGUGUAUAUUGAACACUAAGACCUAAGAAUUCAUACAAAUAACAUCAAGUUCUUACGGUGACCUCAAAGGAAUGGAAUCCCCAAGCAACCAACGUUUCAAAACAAGCAACCAACACAAGUGAUUCUACACUUGUCACAAGUGAUAUCCACACUUGUAUGAACACUCUCAAAGAGCUCUCAAAAUAUCAUCUAAGUUAUAAAAAAAUGACCUAAUAUUUUCUAUUUAUAGUCUAGGUUAUAACUUAUUAUAAAAUGACUAUAAUGCCCUUAAUGAACCAAUACAAAGGGGCGGCCUUGAAGUGUGCAUAUUGGACGGCUUUGGAGUGUUGGGACUAGUUCUCUACACUUCAAAGCUUGUUCCAUUGGUUGAGAAACCACCUGAGCUCGAGUCUUUACAUAUGGUCCACAAUCACGAUUGUACUUGUAUCAUCCUCCUUUUCUUGAAAAGGAUUCGACCUCAAAUCCGAAAUUUGCAAAACAAUUGAGGAGACAAAAAAACACAUAUUCCUCAUGACAUGAGGGUUAACAUUAGCACAAUCAACAAAAAGAUUAUUAAACCACAAGUUUACAUUCUACACACGUCGUGGGACCAUAGGGAAUAGGAUACCCUUCUAAGCACCAAAAGAAAUACUUGUCUAUCCACCUAAGUGUGACAAGAAACAAGACAAAAAAAGUGUAAUUAAUUAUAGCAUCUUGCCAAGGUGGUUCAAACUUCACAUACACCCAAACAUCCCUCUUACCCGAAUACCCUCCCAAGAAAUAGUCAGCUAGUCUAUCCACAUAAGUGUGACAAGGAACAAGAGUUGCUCAUCAAGUGGAAAACAUAGACUCUUCUUGGAACAACAAAUAGGCUUGAUAGCCGAGAUAGGAAGGCCAUACAUUUCAUGCGCCUUCAAGUCAUUCAAAAAGACAUCAUCACCAUAUUUCAAAUGAUCACCAGGAUCAAAUGGGUGGAGUGUCCAUGGACACGAGUUUAGGACACACGUCUUUUCCCCAAUACUACCACUAAUACGAUCAUAUGUUCCAUCUAUACUAGCAUGGUCAACAACAAAAAUAAUUAGAGGGCCAUCUUUAGUCCUUCGACAAACAUUUUCAACAUCACCAUUUUUACACACAAGUUGGUUUUCAUGACUUCCACAAGACAAUGUACUAUCACUUAUCGCAAUAGUUUUAAUACUAGGCGGACGUAAGUCGAUCUUGCUAGAAGAAUCAACUUUGUCAUCAUGAGGAUCAAUUAGUGUAUCCACAACCUCAAGUUGUACAUUGCCAUCACAAAUUGAAGGAACAUUUGGCUCACCUAAAGACAAACUAUCGUUCACACUUAGUUGUCUACUAGCCUCAGUCACUAGAGUGCAAUAGUUAGUUUGAUUACUUUGUAGCUCAUGUGGAGCAUGUCCACUCACGAAAACUUGAUUAGGAAGGUUUGGAUGCUCUAUCAAGUUAUCCAACUUUUUGCAAAGAGAGCUCUCUGUCCCUUCCAUUCUUCUUUCAAGAGAUUCUGUCACGACCCAACUUUUCAGGUCAUUAUAGCGCCUACCAUAACCCACCAGUAGGUAAGACAACCUGUAGUCCGGAAUGGCUAGUAACAGACUACUUAAUAAUAUAAGAAAAAGAAUACAUAUGAGAUAAAGAUCAAUACAUAGAUGAAUCCCAAAACCUGGUGGUAUCAGUACAAGAGUUUCUAAACAUAAUAAGAGUACAAAAGUGAUAUAUCAAGGAGAAAUACACUGAUUCAACUUACCUCUGAAUACAACUUAGAGGCUAGUCUAAUACAUAGGAGAGAGAUAAGUAAUACUCCGAACGUUAAGAGCUCACUCUAAGUCUCCGAAUCAGGGCUACUCCACACGAUGCACACAUCAACGGCGAUAACUCGUACUAUGAUCUGCAGGCUGUAAAGGUGUAGUAUGAGUACCAAAUGAAUAGUACUCAGUAGGCAACUGCCAAUGAGCUCCAAAGAUAAAGUAGAUAUAUACAACAUAUAAACAGAAUGAAAACUACAACCAAGAGUCCACAAAUCAUGUAAUAAGUCAAUGAGAAUAACAUGGGACAACUAUCCUGUUCAUGUCCAAGAGUCUAACAUAAUAAGACUAAGGAAGUAUCAAGGUGAACUAUCUUAUUCUAGCUACAUUCAAUAUAUGCCAAAGAUAUACCGUAUAUCCCAGGUCAAUAUACAGAUAAAGAGUGAAAGAAAGAUAUAUUGUAAUAUACAAGGUGAAGGAACGACUAUACAAUAUGAACAACGAAAAAAGGGAUAUCCGAUAGUACCAUGACUUCAUAUAGCUAUAUAUAUUUAUAUAUAUAUAAAUAGGAGGUUAUCUCAGCAUAACCUACAUUGUUAUGUUCUCAUUUUAAGAUCUCAUUGUAAUACUAUCAGGAUUCAACGAAGGAUUUCUAAUCCAUAUGGCUAGACAUAGAAUAAUCAUGCAUAGUAAUAUAAUCAUAAGAUAGCAAAGUUCGAAGACAUACCUCAAUCCCAAUACUGGAUCCAUGACCAAUCUAUCAUAAGUUAGCCAUAAUAAUGAUCAUAACCAUGAUAAUAACAAUAUCAAUAACAUCGUAAAUAAUUGGCUACUUCGGAUAACCAAAUACCUAGUCGAGCCUAUGCGUACCCCCACCACCCCAGACUUAGAAGGUUCAAUCAACAAACAAUAACACAACAUAUAUUACUUACCCAUAUCUAUGCAACCGUCCCAUACCAACUGAUAGACAUAGGUUCAUACUAGUGAUAGGCGAUGCGCAUGUAGGAAUGAAUACAAAAUAUACCAUCAAUAUCACAAUGCAUCAUAACUGUCCUCAUCAGGACCAUCAUCAUCGUCAUCAACCUCCGGCCUCACCGGGUAUCAAUAUCAUCUCAAUAGUAUCCUUCAGACUCGAAUCGGGUAUCAAUAUUAUCACAAUAUCCUCCGGCCUUGCCGGAUAUCAAUAUCAUCUCAAUAGUACCUCCGAACUCGAACCGGAUAUCAAUAUCAUCAUAAUAUCCUCCGGUCUUGUCGGGUAUCAAUAUCAUCUCAAUAGUAUCCUCCAGACUCGAACCGUGUAUCAACAUCAUCAUAAUAUCCUCCGACCUUGCCGGGUAUCAAUGUGUCAUCAUAACUCUCGACACAUAAAUAUAGACAUAUAAUAGGUGCACAGACCCAACCCAAUAUACUCAUAACCUUAAAAAUAUCUAUCUUAUCAAUACAUUCCAAUUACUCGUUAUUAGCUAACCAACAUUUAUUAUAUUAAACUGCUAGUUCGCUAGUCAUUACAUAACCUCUAGUUAUUAGCCUAAACAUUAUCCUUCAUAUAAUCCUUAUUCACGGGAUAACAACUAACCAAAAUUCAUUUAAUAGUCAACAUCUAACAUCUAGUCUAGGUUCAUCAUUAGACCAAAACCGUCAUUUAUCCACCAUUCAUUAUUAUCAACUAUUCAUCAUAUUUUUGUUACUUGUCGCCUAACGAUCUUUUAUUAAAUGACAUCAUUCAUUAACUGACCAUCAUUAGCUAUCAUGUUCCAACUAAGCAAGAUUCAUUAACUAAUACAUUAGCUUCCUAGCCAUCAAGUGCAAUAGUUAGAUAAUAGACAACUAGUUACCACAUAGCUUAACCGUCUAACAAGAAGAAAAACCAGAAGAUCAUAUUUUGGCUAUAAUCAAAUCAUUUAUAAUGGUAAAUAAUCAUGACGUACCAAACCUAUGCAUGCCAUCACCAGUAUUCAAUCAAUGGAAUAAUAAACAUCAUUCUGCAUCUUCCUCCGUCCCAUUCCGGAGAGAUGUGUAUACAAACAUAUACAUAUUCAUAUUCAUAAAUCAUAAUCACAUCAUUCACAAUGAUAAACACUUCUUGGAUAUUUAAUCAGUACCAUAACACGGCCCUUGGCCCAUUAAUUUAUCCGAAAUAAUCACAACAUCAUAAUCAUGGCCUUAGGACCAUAUACAUAUCCGGGACUCAUAUAAAUAAUCAUAUUUAUAAAUCAUAGCAUAUCUAUAAUCAUCUCACAUAUAGGAGGCAUCUCACAUCUAGGAGGCAUAAUAUCAAGCAUAUCACCUCUAUUAAACAUCUCAUAUCUAUAGGUUUUGCAUCAUGACCAAGAGAAAAAUCGUCUCUAUAAGCUCAAUAAUCAUAACUAAGAGGAAAAUCAUUUCUAUGGGUCAAAUAUCGUAACUAGGAGGAAAAUGCAUCUCUAUAGGCAAAAUAUCAUAAUUAAGAGAAAAAUGCAUCUCUAUGGGACAAAUAUCAUAAUAAAGAGGAAAAUGCAUUACUGCAUCUCUAUGGGCAAAAUAUCAUAAUUAAGAGAAAAAUGCAUCUCUAUGGACCAAAUACCAUAAUAAAGAGGAAAAUGCAUCUUUAGGGGCCAAAUAUCACAAUAAGGAGAAAAAUGCAUCUCUAUGGGCCACUAAUCAUAAUCCAACGGAAAUCAUCAUAAGUUAUCAAUUUACCAUGUAAUUCUCAUAAAUAAGGCUCAUUAGUCUCAACUAGGUCUACUAUCCGCAACUAAGCCCACAAGGGCUAACACAAAUCUUGGCCUGAGUGGGUCGGAUGAUCCCACUUCUAAUCUAUAUUUUUCAUAUUUAGGCAUACUAUGCUCCAAACUAGGCUAAGGUAUCUAGUUCAUCCUUUAAAUUUCAAGCAAGUCAUAUUAACGCCUAAGAUAGUAACUUCAACUAGAAACAAGGGUACUCAAGUCAACUCUACCAAACUUACGGUUCCAAAACUAUCACACUAGCCUAAUAAGGCUAAAUAUACAAAUCAUGCUUCAAAUGCUAAAACCAUAUUCCAAGCAUAUCAUUAUAUCAUAUCCAUGCUACAAAUUUACCCAAACUAGGGAGAAGGCAAUAGGAUUCUUUAAGGGUAUUAAGUAAUUCAACCUACGGGUCCAAAACCCUAUCUAAUCUCCAAACGUAUAUGUAUAUUCAAUACUAAGUCAUUCUAUCCAAUAUCAAUCUUAACAUUCACGUUAACACGCAAUAUAUAUCAUAAAUCAUCCAUGAAGAAAAGUAGACAGAAGCCUACCUCAAGGCUAAACCGCAAAAUCACACUUCAAGCACCACAUGCUCGUCUUCAUUUCACAAUCCCCAAAAUGUCAUCAUACUAUCAAAAAUAUAAUCUACUCAUAAAUACGAGUCUAACGAUACCCAUAUUGCACUAUUGUGCUUCGGGUCCAAAAAUGACACCAAAAACUCCAAAUGGGUCCCACAUACGAAAAUCGCAUUUUCGAGGUCAACCAGUGCUCAUCUAUCACCAAAGAAGCAUAACCCUCAAUUGAUGGGUGCAAACAAAUGAAAUUUGGGGCUAAAUCAAGCCCUAAUCUAAAUUGGGGUUUUGGGUCAAGAAUAAUGAAAUUCACUAAUAAAGUAAUGAAAUCUUACCUUAAUCCGGAUGAUAAUCAUGAUAAAAGAUGUUUACCAAGCUUCCUAGACACUCACAAGACUCAAUUUCAAGUUAUCAUACCUAUUUAGGGUUUUAGAUUCUCAAAUGUGAAAGAAAAAUCUCCAAAAUCGCGACCUUGGGUCUAUUUAUAGACUUCUUUGGCGAACAGACGCGGUACCCUACGACAGCGAAGUCAAAAACUUGUUUUUGACCCUUGGAACUCAUCCGGGACCCAAAAUAUAUGAACCAAUAGUGAAAUUUGAGUGUAAACCACAAUUCAAAUCCAUUGGAAUCAUCAAAACUUCCAUAAAAGGUCGUUUAGGCAAAAAGUGGGGCUCACAUAUAUAGUUUUGAUUUUAUGAGUUUCCGACUAAUAGGUCGAAAUGAGCUCGAGUGCAUUGGGACCCGAACCAAAGGUUUACCUAGACUAAAAUCGAUAUUUUGAAUGUGAUGGCGCAGUCGAAAUUUUCAUUCGAGAUCAUUUCGCUGAAUUUUUUGAUCGGUGGCUAUUUGGAACCAACGAAGACUUCUAAACAGGGAGUUGACUCUAAAAAUCAAACGAAAUGCCCGAUAAUCGAACCCUCAGUCCCAGCAAGUCAUAAAUGACUUAAAGAAGCUAUGGAGAAGCUCAAAUGAUGAAGAUAAGCAUAAAUAUGGAAAAUGACCUGAAGGGUCAUUACAGAUUCACAUCGGCUAAUAACAUCGUGUUCACACUCAUUAUAGCCGCCAUCAAAUCUUUCAUGGUUACCUUUUUAUAUGACAUAGUACCUAACAAAAGAAAUUCUAAAACAAAAACAUAAACAACAAGUUAAGGUUAGCAAAAAUCAUCCUCACAAACUCUCAAGCUCACACUAUGUCAAGUAUCACUCAAUGGUCUCAUAAGUGUUGGUAUGUCGUUUUUACUCCAAUGAAGUUACUUGGUCCCUGUUGUGGCUCAAGGUCGGAAUAGAUUUUUUUUUUACAACGACUCAAAACAAAUAGGUACGUACUUGAAUAAAAAAAAACUACAACGAGUUUCGAAAAGAUAAAAGCACACAAAGAAACGUAGACACGAAUAAGCAGACCCAAAACUAAUUUACAACCUAGUAGACAAUUACUAGUUUGUUAAUUAGCAAUAGAAUCAACAAAAUGCAACUAGGAAACAAAUAUUAGAAACUAAGAAAUCAAAAAAAUCGAGCUCACUUAUGUUGCAUGAACAGUAAAACGUGAUGAUGUGGCAGCCACGUAAUUGGUCGCAGUCCUACACAAUUUUUUUUAAUCACCAAUUUGAAGCUUUUGUCUUGAUACAAUUUGGAAUGGAUGAGUUUGUCUUUUGGUGGAAGAAUUCAAGUCUUAGAAACUUUUUAAAAUUUCAACUCAAAAAGUGAGACUUGACUUUACUAUUCCCACAAAACAAGGUCCUUGAAAUAUGAAAAGGUGGUUGACAAGUCUUUGAAGUGAUGUGUUCAAGUCUCUUCACCAACAACCUUUCAACUUUAUCUUACACAUUUUUGGAUCUAUGUUAUACUUUAUAUUGAUCAAGACAUUUCAAGAACAAAAAGAUCACAACAACAAUUUCUCAAGAACAAUAACAACUCCACCAAUAUUCAUCUCCGAGUCCACAAUAAUUGUACCACUCGGUAAAGAACAACAAUAUCAACCCACGACCAACUUCAAGUUUACAACAACAAGUUCAACAACAUAAGCUCAAACCUUUAGAUCUAGACAUUUUUAGUGUUGGUGAGAAAGAAACCAACACUAGAAACAAUCUAAAUAAACAAAAUACUACAAGAUCUAGUCACAAAAAAUAUGGCUCGGCCAAGACAACAAUAAGACCCAACUUUCGGCCAAGAACAAUCUCAAGAAUAUUUCACUUUUUUUUAUAUUUUUCAACUCUCAAGCCCAAGAUUGAUCUUGUUAAAACAAAAUCAAAGAUGACUUUGAUACCAAAUGAUACAAGAUUGACAAAGAAUACACUAACACACACCAAAACAGUCCAUGAUUUGAAGAACCGAGGACCCCUUUGGUGACCCCUCUCGGAUUCACUACACAAUAACAAUACAAGCACGAUAACAACAAGAUUCUAAGGCAUUCAACACAUAUAACCAGCAAGUCACAAACUAAGAUUACAACACAAUAACAAGAACAAAAAUAACACAAUAAGGUCUCGGGUUUGGAUACCCAAAACUGAGAAUGAACACAACAACAAUAAUAAGAUAGAAUGAUAGAUAACUUGACACACAAUGCACAAACACUAUGAACCAAAGUGUAUAUUGAACACUAAGACCUAAGAAUUCAUACAAAUAACAUCAAGUUCUUACGGUGAUCUCAAGAGAACGGAAUCCCCAAGCAACCAACGUUUCAAAACAAGCAACCAACACAAGUGAUUCCAUACUCGUCACAGGUGAUAUCCACACUUGUAUGAACACUCUCAAAGAGCUCUCAAAAUAUCAUCUAAGUUAUGAACAAAAAGACCUAAUAUGUCCUAUUUAUAGUCUAGGUUAUAACUUAUUACAAAAUGACUAUAAUGCCCUUAAUGAAAUAAGACAAAGGGGCGUCCUUGGAGUGUGCAUAUUGGACGGCUUUGGAGUGUUGGGACUUGUUCUCUACACUUCAAAGCUUGUUUCAUUGGUUGAGCAGACACUCGAGCUCGAGUCUUUACGUAAUGGUCCACAAUCACAAUUGUACUUGUAUCAGAUUCCGAAUACUUUAUUUUGUAAGUUAUGGUGGAAUUUUAAAACUAAAAAGAUCAUUUGGAGUGAUUUCAUGAAAAAUAACCAUUGCAGAAAAAUUAAUUGUAAUAAAGUUAUGUGGAAUAUAGGAGGUGGUUCACAAGUGUCGAAGAAGAUGCUUCAGGCCAGAGAUUUAAUAGAGCAUUAAAUUGGGUGGAAUAUUAAAGUGGGAGAGCAUCUUUCCGGCAUGAUAACUCGACUGAAUUGGGGGAUCUUUGAUACGGAAAUGAUCAUGACCUUAGAUAUUUUUUGAUCAACUUGAAGACCACCUAAAGAAUGCACAAGCCCAAGUGUGGAUGAGGCCCAAAUCAGUUUUUGAAUGCACUUCAUGGGGUGGCCUUGAGGCCUUUUUGAUGGAAAGGCCCUUUUGUCAUUUAACUAUUAUUUUGUAAUGUAAUAUAAAUAUAACAUGGUAGGGUUUAUUGUAUUAGUUUUGAUGCUUGAUAUUAUAAGAACACUCCUCUUAGAGAGAAAGACUCCAACCAAAACUAGGGCCUAACACAAAGGUGGAAUUGUUUGUGUGUGGUGUUUUGCUUGAUACGUUGGUGCUUGAGAGGUGAACGCCCCUCUUGUGUCUUUGUAAGAGUUAGGUGCGUGUUGAAUGUGGUAUUAAGGGUCCAAGAGUGGAAUAUGCUCUUAGGUUCUUAAGAUUACAACUUCAUUGUGUCUAACUAUCUAUCCUUGUUUCUUAUUUUAGGUUCGGCUUUCCAUGUUUUAUUGUUGAAUCUGUAGGUUCUUGUUGAUGUACCCGUGUUUUUCUUCAUUAUAUUGUAUUAAUAAAGUUUGUUGAUGGGCUUAUUUCAUGUGUAAACACUUAUUAUUCUCUCCAUUCUUGUUGUAAGUAGCGAAUCCAAGAGUGGUCACCUAGAUAGUCCACGGUUUCUCUUCUUGUGGACUGUUUUGGGUGUUUGAUUUGUUGUGUUCUUCGUCAUUCUUGUAUCAAUCUUGUUGGUUUAAAACUGUUAAAGGGAAUCAACAUAGGAAUUCAAUUUAAAAGCUAGCCGCAGAAAUAGAGAUGGAGUUUGAAGAAGAGAAUAUGCAGAGAGUAAUUAUUUUCUUGUUGAAAGACCACCUCAAAUUGAUCAUCAACUUAGAAACUUAAAUAGUUGCUAUUAUAACUAAAAAUAGGAUAAGGAACCAACCUAUUUCUACCAAAAUUAGAAUAACUAAUUAGUUUCCUGCCAAAGAUAGUACUCCUAAUUUAACUAGGAUUGUACGUAAAAAAAAACUGGAGAAAAAAUAAAAAAAACAGUUGCAUUCUUAAAGCAACUUUCAACACUCCUCAUUGCUUUAUGAAAUGUAAACACCAAUUCUUUGCCUUAGAAGCUCGAACUUGCUGAUUUGAAGUGUCUUAGUGAACAGGUCUUCUAGUUGUGGCAAAUUUGAAGGCUGCAGAGGAAGAGAAGUCAUUUGUUGAGGUAGUGACUGCUGCUGCUGAACUUGCUGCAUGUUUUGUUGAUAUGCUUGUUGCCGAUUUCUUGCAAGAAGAGAUGGAUGUGGACCAUGAGGAAGAGGAGGAGCUCCUAAAGGCAUUGAAACUGGCAUUGAAGUCUUAUGUUCUCCUUGAGGUGAUGAAUCAAGUGAUGGGAUAGAUAGAGGCACUGCAGUUCCAACUCCAGGUAUUGUACCCUCAGUUUGUAAUAUACUGGAGGCAAAUGCUCCAGGGGUUGAGGGGGCCUCAAGACCUGGAAAAUUACCAAGCAUGCGACCAAGAACAUUGUUUUGAUCACCCAAACCUUGCUGUCCUAAAUUGAAUUUAUCACGAGCGGAGUCGCCAGGCCUUUUUCUGCACCAGAACUUUGUUGUCUGAUCAUUGCUUCCACUGGAAAGGAGAUAACCAAUUGGGUGCCAUGAAAGAUCCCAAACACCAGUUUAAUGUGCAUUUGUAAUUUCUACUUGAGGAGCUUUAUGCCCCACAAGCCAAUGAAAUAUUGAACCAUCAUAGCUUCCGCUGACGAAAUAUUCUUCAUGAAACGGAUGCCAGGCUAAUAAUGUCACGUCGUUCUGAUGCCCACCAAAAGACUCAAGAUCUUUCAUAGCCCUUAUGUCAUAAAGCUUGAUAAUUUGAUCCUUGGAAGCAGAAAGGAUCCAGUUACCAUUCUGAUUUCACUUCACGCAGAGAACGGUAUUCUUAUGCCCGUGAAAUGAUGAAAGCUCCUUCCUUGACUUGACAUCCCAAAGUUUAACAAGAUUACAUUUUCUAUCAGAUAAUGAGCGCUCUUCUUGGCAGUUUGUGAAGUCCCAUACUUUAAUGGUAAAUUCAUUAGAACUGGUUUCAACUUCGGAAUCAUUUUUUUUACAUCUGGAUUUUCAGGGUUGAAGUCAUCAUCCUUCGAUUCAUCAGAUGGAAGUUCAAAAAUAUCAUUUAGCUUCUCUCCAGACGCAGCAGCAACAACUUCCUUAGGAUAUACUUUCUCCCAGCUGUAAGUGAAGGAAAGGUCGGUUCCUUGACUAUCAUUAAGCAAGUCAAUGCAGUCAACUUUGAAAUCACAACUAGGACAAAGCCAGCCUUCAUCAUCAGGUGGAAUGUCUUCUUUUAGCAGAGGUGGCUCCACACACAACUCAAAUCCAUAUUCUUCUUCCAAUAGAUUUAAUGAGAAACUUCUACCGCUCAUUUUGACUUUAAAUAGGUCUUGUCCAGAUGCCUCCUUGAUCAAGCAAUGUUUAUCUUCAAAAUACAAUUUGAAACCUUUUUCUAAUAACUGACCAACACUUAACAAGUUCUGGUCCAAAUCGGGUACGUAAAGAACAUCAGAAAUUGGUUUAGUGCUUGAUUGUGUUUCAAUUGUGAUGGUUCCCAUUCUUUUUGCUAGAAUAUAACCACUAUGGCCGAUCCUAACUUUUGUAACUUUAGUAGGGCUUAAAUCUUUAAAAAGAUCUUUAUCGUAAGUCAUAUGAUUUGUGCAUCCGCUAUCGAUCAACCACGACUCACUUGAGACACUGCUUGCUAAACAUGAUGCAACAAAGAGUUGAUCCUCUUCCUGUUCAUCAACAACUCAAGCCUCUGCAUCUUGUUGCUGAGUUUUAUUUUUACAGAUGAUCGCUUCAUGCCCAAGAUGAUUGCACUUAGUGCACUUAGCAUCAGGCCUCUUCCAACACUUGAAAGGUGCAUGCCCGAGCUUGCCGCGAUGCUUACAAGGAGGGUAGUUUCUUAUGAAACCACCUGUUUUAUUUUUGUUGCUUUGCGCUGCACCUUCUCCAUCAGUUAGUUAGUACUUCUUAUUAUUAUUCUUCUUAGAACGUCCAUCAUCAUGAUGCUUGGCUGGUAAGGCACCUUCGAAAGCUCUUCCUUGUCUCAUAACACGUCGUUGCUCUUGCACUUGAAAAGCACUUAAGAGCUCUGCAAGUGUUAUCUUAGACAAGUCCUUAGUAUUUUCUAAGGUUGUUAUGGUAGGCUCAAAUCUUUCAGGUGCCGUUACUAGGAUUUUCUCAAUGAUCCUUGAAUCAUUGAAAGAAGAACCCAACAAUCUGAUGCGAUUUGCUAAAUUAAGGAGCCUGUCGGAGUACUCCUUUAUGGUUUCACUUUCUUUCAUCCUUUGCAGCUCAAACUCACGUACCAGAUUCAACACUUGCAUCCCUCGAAUCCUUUCAUCUCCUUCAUACUCAAUUUUGAGAUAAUCCCAUACCUCUUUCGCUGAUUCAAGAGACAUGAUACGAGUGAAGAUAUUAGAUAAAACUGCAGUAAAUAAGCAUGUCAUUGCCUUUGAUUUUCUAGUAUUCUUCUCCUUGUGAGUUUUAAUCUGCGCCACCAUGGGAUUGUCCGGCAAGGGAGCUAUCUCAUAUUCAGCCUCAACAGCUUCCCAGAGAUCCAAAGCUUGCAGAUAUAUUCGCAUUCUAACUGCCCAGAUUUGAUAACUUUCUCCAUCGAAAGUUGGUGGUGCCAUUGAAGAAAAAAUUGCUUCUCCGUUCAUGAUAUCCACUGGAUCAGAUUGAUGCACACACUCACAGGUCCCUUAAGAUUAAAGUUUUGAUACCAAUUGUUGGUUUAAACCGUUUAAGGGAAACAACGCAGGAAUUCAAUUUAAAAGCUAGCCGCAGAAACAGAGAUGGAGUUUGAAAAAGAGAAUAUGCAGAGAGUAAUUAUUUUCUUGUUGAAAGACCACCUCAAAUUGAUCAUCAACUUAGCAACUUAAAUAGUUGCUAUUACAACUAAAAAUAGGAUAAAAGAAACAACCUAUUUCUACCAAAAUUAGAAUAACUAAUUAGUUUUCUACCAAAGAUAGUACUCCUAAUUUAACUAGGAUUGUACGUAAAAAAAAUUGGAGAAAAAAAGAAAAAAAAAGCUGCAUUCUUAAAGCAACUUUCAACAGAUCUAUAUGCUAUUACAGGUGAAAAUGAAGAAUGAGAUGAGCAUUAUAGCAGUGUCAGGCAAGCAACUAUAAAUGGAGAAUGGGGUGUAGUUGCACUACAGAAUUUAAUUCCCAAUGAUUUGGUGACUUAUAUUGUUCAAAAUAUUAAACCACCCAGAUCUGAAGAAAUUAAUGAUAAGCCUAUUUGGAUGUUGGAUCCUAAAGACAGAUUUACUGUUAAAAGUUCAUGACAGUAUAUAAGUGUAACACCCCGUACUUAAUUACGUGCAUUAGCCAUGGUUAUAUGUGUUGGAGUAUAUGUAUUGAUCAUAAGUUAGGUAUAUAUGAGUUUAAGUAUGAGUAUUGAUUAUUUUGAGAUGGUUUCAAGUGUAUAGUUUGAUUAUAUGUGUAUAGGAAUCGACUUUAUUUACACCGGAAUUUGCUCGUCAAAGUUACUAUGCGAAGUUUAUUGAGUUAGCUUUCCAACGAUAUAAAGAUUUCUGAAAACAGAUAAGUAUCGGAUAUAAGCGAGCAUGUUCAAAUCUUGAAAACGGUGGACGCAAUGAACAGUAAAUGUGCAGAAAUUUUCUGCACACAAAAGUACUGCAGCCAAACAGAUUUUUGGGUCGACUUUAAACGAUCAUAACUCCUUGUACAAAAUGAACUGUGUGAGCUGCUAUAUAUCGAUGAGAAGCCCCGAGAGUCUUCUUUCUAAUGCAAUUGGUUUUAUCCAAAUCCGACAUCUGAGUAAUGAGUUAUACUCGUUUUACUUCAGCCUCUCAAAACAGAUUUNNNNNNNNNNNNNNNNNNNNNNNNNNNNNNNNNNNNNNNNNNNNNNNNNNNNNNNNNNNNNNNNNNNNNNNNNNNNNNNNNNNNNNNNNNNNNNNNNNNNNNNNNNNNNNNNNNNNNNNNNNNNNNNNNNNNNNNNNNNNNNNNNNNNNNNNNNNNNNNNNNNNNNNNNNNNNNNNNNNNNNNNNNNNNNNNNNNNNNNNNNNNNNNNNNNNNNNNNNNNNNNNNNNNNNNNNNNNNNNNNNNNNNNNNNNNNNNNNNNNNNNNNNNNNNNNNNNNNNNNNNNNNNNNNNNNNNNNNNNNNNNNNNNNNNNNNNNNNNNNNNNNNNNNNNNNNNNNNNNNNNNNNNNNNNNNNNNNNNNNNNNNNNNNNNNNNNNNNNNNNNNNNNNNNNNNNNNNNNNNNNNNNNNNNNNNNNNNNNNNNNNNNNNNNNNNNNNNNNNNNNNNNNNNNNNNNNNNNNNNNNNNNNNNNNNNNNNNNNNNNNNNNNNNNNNNNNNNNNNNNNNNNNNNNNNNNNNNNNNNNNNNNNNNNNNNNNNNNNNNNNNNNNNNNNNNNNNNNNNNNNNNNNNNNNNNNNNNNNNNNNNNNNNNNNNNNNNNNNNNNNNNNNNNNNNNNNNNNNNNNNNNNNNNNNNNNNNNNNNNNNNNNNNNNNNNNNNNNNNNNNNNNNNNNNNNNNNNNNNNNNNNNNNNNNNNNNNNNNNNNNNNNNNNNNNNNNNNNNNNNNNNNNNNNNNNNNNNNNNNNNNNNNNNNNNNNNNNNNNNNNNNNNNNNNNNNNNNNNNNNNNNNNNNNNNNNNNNNNNNNNNNNNNNNNNNNNNNNNNNNNNNNNNNNNNNNNNNNNNNNNNNNNNNNNNNNNNNNNNNNNNNNNNNNNNNNNNNNNNNNNNNNNNNNNNNNNNNNNNNNNNNNNNNNNNNNNNNNNNNNNNNNNNNNNNNNNNNNNNNNNNNNNNNNNNNNNNNNNNNNNNNNNNNNNNNNNNNNNNNNNNNNNNNNNNNNNNNNNNNNNNNNNNNNNNNNNNNNNNNNNNNNNNNNNNNNNNNNNNNNNNNNNNNNNNNNNNNNNNNNNNNNNNNNNNNNNNNNNNNNNNNNNNNNNNNNNNNNNNNNNNNNNNNNNNNNNNNNNNNNNNNNNNNNNNNNNNNNNNNNNNNNNNNNNNNNNNNNNNNNNNNNNNNNNNNNNNNNNNNNNNNNNNNNNNNNNNNNNNNNNNNNNNNNNNNNNNNNNNNNNNNNNNNNNNNNNNNNNNNNNNNNNNNNNNNNNNNNNNNNNNNNNNNNNNNNNNNNNNNNNNNNNNNNNNNNNNNNNNNNNNNNNNNNNNNNNNNNNNNNNNNNNNNNNNNNNNNNNNNACGGUACAGUAUUGAUUAUUGUUAGGUGGUUUGGAGGUUCGGGAGGAGGAGGUAAUGGCGAAUGAUAAUUGUAAAGAAUGAAGUGAACGAAUGUAUACCGUUCCAUAAAUGUGUUUGAAUUCAAGAACCCAAUUCAGAUUAAUGAUAAGAUAAUGUACAUGAUCCUAAAAGUGUUUAUGAAGUGUGGUUCACUUCUAUUAUGAUUUAUUCACUUGCGUCUGACUUUCUUGAUCCCCCAUACCGCAUAUAAUUAUUUACAGCUUUAUAUACUCAGACAUAUUUCGUACUGAUGUCCCUCACGGGGGACUUGCAUUUCAUGCUGCAGGCACAGGUGCUUCAGCUCAUUCACAGCAUAGAUAGGAGCCAGGUCAUACAGCUAUUGUUGGUGAGCUCCAGUUUGCUUCGGAACUUUCCGAAUCGGUCCCUUAUGUUUUGUUAUUGUACAGGAGUCAUGUGUGGGCGGGUGUUUGUCCCGACCCUAGUUAUGUCAUGUAUAUCUUAGAGGCUUUGUAGACAUAAGGAAGGGUAAAGUCAUGGAAGUUUAUAUAGUGAUGUUAUAUUUGUAUAUGUGGUGGCCCCGAGACGGCCAAGUAUUAUAUAUAUAUAUAUAUUUGUGCGUGUUGUGCUGAUACAGGUAAUUAGACCCUUCUAUAUGCAACGAAGUGCUGUCCAAAUUUUUGGUGACAUGUAAGUGAAAGUACAGGUAUCUGAACGGGUUCUCCCGGGCCUUCUCGGCUUCAGGUGCCAGUCCGGCCCGAUGGGAUUUUGGGGCGUGACAAUAAGACACAAAGAGGAGCCAAAUAAAAUUUAUAAGGGAAUGUGGGUGAAAGGCUUACCUUUCAAAAUUAAUUUUAAAAUGUGGAAAUUUUAUAUCCCGGUGGAUGACAGAAUCAGGAGGUGGGGUAUGCAAGGUCCCUCAAAGUGCUGGUGUUGUGUUAAUCCUCACCAGGAUAUAAUGACACAUGUUUUCUUAAGAAGUGGUACUUCUAACAGGACUUGGUCCUAUUUUUGUUCCUUUGCAGGUUUCAAUAUUGAAGGUCUCUCACUCAGAGAGGUUGUCAUGUUAUAGUGGAAAGCAGAUGUGUCGAAAGGAAUUAAACCGUACUAUAAAGCUAUGUCAAGUAUUAUAGUAUGGGUAUUAUGAAAAAGAAGGAAUAUAAGGAAGCAUGAAGGAAAGAAUAUUUCUGUGCAGAGAGUUAUUCAUAAUGUGAAUAUAACAAUGCAUAUGUUGCUAAAAAUUAGGAAGCCUGAAAGAAUUUUUAAGGGAGGAUGGCCGGAUAUACUGAAGGAUUUGGAGAGUAUAAAAGCUGGAAUUAAAGUUACAAUGGUUCUGUGGGAGUUUCCAAAUCAAGGAUGGGUUAAGUACAAUACUGAUGGUGCUUCAAGGGGUAAUCCAGGAGUUAGGUUCUUACGCAUUUUGUUUAAGGAACGAGGAAGGUGAUUUAAUAUUUGCUGAGGCAUUUACAAUGGAGGAAACAACAAAUACAGUGGCAGAAGCUACAACAAUGUUGAAAGCUAGUAAACAUUGCAAGCAUUCAAGUUAUGACAAGGCUAAAGCAUAUGGUGUUUCACAAGGCAAUAAAAGAGUGCUACGUAUUGUUACUUACCUAGUGAUGAAUCCUUGCACUACUGAAAGAGCAAAAAGGAGAUACCAAAUGGGAGCUGAGGUGUGCGGAAACAUUGUGCAGGUGUGUGAGAGGGAUUUGGAAAGAAAUGAGUUAGGAAUCCCUAUCUAUUUUUUAUAUGUAAUAAAGGGUGUGAGCUUUUUGGACAAGGCAGAUGGUGCUGCUGGAUAUUCUUUUUGCUUUGUUAUGUUUUGUUGGGCCAUUUGGUCUUGUAAUUAUUUGAGACAUAAAUAAAAUAUCAAAACUUUAACCAAAAAAAAAUACACGCUAAGGAUUGCAAACUUGUUGAAUAGUAUCAAACUUGGAGGCUACACUGCUUGUUAGUCUUCACUGGUCCCAAAAUACUUUUACACCUUCUUCUGCAUGUUUUGAUUUCAAGUGUUGUUUGCUUAGCAAAAUAAGACUAAUAGGGGACAAUUGUUUGUCUCAUACUAGCAACUUAUUGCCACAGUCUAAUAAAUGAGAGAAAACGUUAUUGUCUAAGCACCUCAUAGUCGUAGCAACACUUUAAAUUCGGGUUGAAGAUAGAUACAAAUGAGUAAACUAUCUAAUCCAUAUACUAAGUCAAUUCUAGGAAAAUUCAAUGACGUUAAACAUUAAGCCGGCUAAUUAACUACUACCAUAUAGAUAUUUGCAACUAUUGCUUUAUAAUAUGCUUUUCUAAGGAACUAUUUAGCCUUAUAUAAAGAAUUUCUAAUACUUCUACACAAUAUUGGUGUGAUAUUGUUGAAUUGCUUGAUAACGUGCUACUAGUUGAAUAUAGUAAAGGUCUAUGAAAUGAGAUCUAAAACUUCACCAAUAAAGGUCUGAGAAAUAAGAAUAUCUAACACUACACCAAUAACCUUUACUCUCCUCAAAUCCAGGAAGUUUCAUAUAGCAUAUUUUAUUGUUGACCCUUAUGCAUAUAAUCCAACAAAACUAGAAAAAGGAUUAAAAAAGAUACACAACAAAACCAAAUCUUGGCACAUGCAUCUUAGCAUGCAAGUCUUGGUCAACUGAUGCCUAUAUAAGCAUCUCGGAAAUAAGAGUACUACAUAGUGAAUUAAAAUCAAUUAAUACAUCCUUGAAGAAACAAUGAUCAUCUCUUUCCAUUCCAUUCUUGUUAGUUUCCUUAUUACAAUGAGUUCCUCCUUAUGUUGCUCUAGCGCCUUGGGUGGCAACAGCUCAGUUAUUAACUUUCAAGUGGGUGUGAUUCUUGAUUUGGACACACAGCUCGGGCACAGGGCUCUCGAUUGUUUGAUGAUUGCUCGUUCUGACUUCUACUCACACCAUCCCAACUACACAACAAGAUUAGUUCUUCAUGCCAGGGACUCCAAAGGAAAUGCAAUUGAUGCUGCUGCUUCCGGUAAAUACUCUUCUCCUCCUUUUCCUUUAACAUUCCUAUACACUCUCUGUUAGUAUCCUCUGUCAGAAACAAAGUCUGUGUUAAUGUCCACUGUCCAGUAGAGUAUUACUAAAACGGAAAAAUAGGAAAAGAAGAAAGAAGUACCUUCGAGGAUCAGUGUAGAAUUCAGAAGCAAAACAAUCUUCUUUAAUCUAGAACACCAUGGAGCAGUUGAUUACGCUGUAUCGUCAACCUCAGUACAUCAUGCCUAGAGCAAUGAUAUUGCUUUCCUUUUUUCCUCACUUUUUUGACUUCAUUUAUUGAUGUAGCUACUACUACUACUUUUAGCAGGGGUGGAGCUAGAUGCCAUAUACAAAUUGAGCAGAACCUAGUAGCUUUGGUCAAACAAUAUAUUCGUGCUGAGGAAUUCAUUAAAUCUGUACAUACAUUAAAUUUAAGACACAGGUAUUAGCACUUGAAGUCAUCGUUCUAAAAUCUAAAACCCUUAAAUUUGAAAUCCUGACUUCACCCGACUUUAAGGCAAUUAUGUGAUCCACCACCUUGAACACUGCCAUCAAUUUCAGUAAAUUUACCUACAGACAGUACAAUCAGCUAUAUCAUGAUAUCUGGUCUGCCUGAAUGGACUGUGUGCACGCCAAAACUUGGAAAGUAAAACAUACCUUAUAGGAGAAACUUUUGGGAUAUAAAAUCCAUCUUCCCUUCGUAUAAAAAUUGCAGGUCUUCAAUUGUUGAAAGAUAUAAAAGUCGAUGCAGUAAUCGGGCCUCAAAAAUCCUCACAAGCCCACUUCUUGAUGAAUCUUGGAGAGAGAGCGCAAGUCCCAAUAGUAUCUUUCUCCGCAACCAGCCCUUCUCUUCAACCUAGAACAAAUUUUUUUGUUCAAACAGUCCAGACUGACGACACUGAGGUUGGUGCCAUUGUCAAAGCCUUCCAGUGGAAUCAGGUUGUGAUCAUUUAUGAAGAUUCAGAGUACGGCAAUGGCAUUGUUCCUUACUUGUCUAAUGCCUUGCAAGAGAUCAAUGCCCGUGUUGCCUACAAAAGCCUCAUCCCUGUAUCAGCUCACGAGGAUUUUAUACUCAAAGAGCUGUACAAGAUGACGACCAUGCAGACUAGGGUAUUCAUAGUACAUCUGUCGUAUUCUCUUGGAGCCAGGUUCUUUCUAAAAGCCAAGGCAAUAGGUAUGAUGAGUGAGGGCUAUGUCUGGAUCAUCACCAGUGAUCUUAUGGACUUGCUUUCCUCCAUGAAUUUACAUGUUGUGGAAGCCAUGCAAGGCGUAUUGGGAGUAAAGCCACUAAUUCCCAAGACUAGCAAUCUUGAUCCACAUAGAUUGCGAAAGAAAAUUUUUGACAUUGCCAAUCCUGGUUAUAAACCAGCAGAUAUUGUGAGCAAUUUUGAUGCAUGGGCAUAUGAUACCAUGUGGGCACUAGCUAUGGCUGCUGAGCAAGUUGGAACUCACUAUCCAGAAGCUUCAUAUCAGGACACAACUGCCGACCUCAAUUCUUCAGACCUAUUCAACCUUCCUAUCUCAAAAAGAGGUCCUAAACUUCUCAAAGCAAUUCUGACGACUAGGUUUAAAGGGCUUAGCGGGAUAUUCCAUCUCGUUGAUGCUAUGGCUGCUGAGCAAGUUGGAACUCACUAUCCAGAAGCUUCAUAUCAGGACACAACUGCCGACCUCAAUUCUUCAGACCUAUUCAACCUUCCUAUCUCAAAAAGAGGUCCUAAACUUCUCAAAGCAAUUCUGACGACUAGGUUUAAAGGGCUUAGCGGGAUAUUCCAUCUCGUUGAUGGAAAAUUGUAUCCAUCGUCAUAUAAAAUACUCAAUGUUGUUGGAAAUGGAGAGAAAGAAGUAGCAGUCUGGACACCGUCUCAUGGAUUAAAAAGGGUGAGACGCAACACUGCCGACAAAUUUAAUUCAACUGAGGAUUUCAGUAGUAGCAUCAUGUGGCCAGGGAAAUCUAGAGUGAUACCAAGAGGGUGGGAAGUUCCAGUGAGGGGUAAAAAGCUAAGAGUUGCAGUGGCAGUGAGACCUGGUUUUGAGGAAUACUUGAAUGUGAUGAGGGAUUCGAGGACAGGUGCUGUUCACUUUGGUGGGUACUACAUAGAAGUAUUCAAAUCAGUGAUGGCAGCUUUACCAUAUGCAGUGCCUUACGACUUCAUUCACUUUGAGAAGCCAGAUGGCUCAUGCGCAGGGAGUUACGACGAUCUUAUAUAUCAAGUGUUUCUUCAGGUAACUAUACUAUAAACUAGUCCUGGAAGCAGAAAUGUGAUUAAGCUAUCCAAUUAGUCGUUCCUCUUAUUUCCUCACCAGAUUGUGUUUCUAUUCUUUGACCCUGCAAAAUCAGAAUUAUGAUGCUGCCAUUGGAGAUAUUACAAUCACAGGAAACCGAUCAAACUACGUGGACUUCACUUUGCCAUUCGCAGAAGGAGGAGUGGUCAGAAUUGUUCCAAUUACCUACGAGGAUGAUAAUGGUAUGUGGACAUUCUUGAAGCCCAUGAAGAAAGAACUCUGGCUCACAAGUAUAGCCUUCUUCUUUGCUACGGGUUUAGCUGUUUGGAUUCUUGAACACAGAACAAGCUCAGCUUUUCGGGGUCCUCCUUCAUACCAUCUUGGCAUGAUCUUCUAUUUUCCCUUCUCCACUUUAGUAUUCGCACACAGUGAGUUGAUCUUAUCUAAAAGCAUCUUCUUCAUCUUGCAUAAAUGACUUUACCUGACUAUAUUUAUUAUUUUAUAGGAGAAAGAAUCGUGACCAAUCUGGCUCGUCUGGUUGUAGUAGUAUGGAUGUUCGUAGUACUCAUAUUGAACUCCACUUACACUGCUGGCCUAUCAUCAAGAUUGACAGUGCAGAGGCUACGACCAGCUAUUGCAGAUGUGAAGAAACUCAUCAGGAAAGGACAUUCUGUGGGCUGCUACCAAGGCUCAUUUGUAUGUGAUAAUUUAAGGGGGAUGGGUUUUAAUGACUCAAAGAUCAAGAUGUACAGGCUUCCAGAAGAUUAUAAAGAAGCUCUGUCAUAUGGAAGCAAAAGUGACAGCAUAUCAGCAUUUUUUGAUGUGGUUCCUUACUCCAAACUCUUUCUAUCGAAGUACUGUGACAAGUACACCAUUGUCGGCCCUACCUAUCGCACUGAUGGUUUUGCCUUUGUAAGCAUUAAAGCCUAUAAGCUCUACUUACUCUAGUCUCCUUUUAGUACAUUUGACAAUUAUGGUGUCUCGGCCAACUUGUGCGCACCUCAACUAAUCCACUCGAUGCCUGCUACCUCCUACUAGCACAAGUAUCAAGUAACUUCGUCCACAACGGUUAGGCAUGUGGGAAGAAAUCAUCUAGUGUUUUUUGCCGCCACUAAAAUUUAAACCUAAGACCUCAUGAUACCCCACCCCCUCUCCCACACACUUCGUUGACCCCUAGGCUUUCAUCCAUUUCCCCCUCGUAGUAUUCAGUGCAGACUGGUAAACAAAGCUCCUGCUCUGCGCGGGAUCUGGAAGAGGGCCAGACCACAUGGAUCUAUUCUGUGCAGCCUUACCCUGCAUUUCUACAUGAGGUUGUUUCCACGGCUUGAAGUCCUGACCUCCUAGUUACAUGGCAACAACUUUACCAUUUCCCCGUUGUAGCAUAUAUUUACAAUAGUGUCAUCCCUUUUUCUAGCUGGUGUACUCAUGUCUUUUGAAAAUCAACAGGUUUUCCCAAAGGGAAGUCCUUUGGUGGCUGAUGUCUCUCGAGCAGUUAUCAAGCUAACAGAGAACGGUGAGAUGUUAGACAUCCAACGGGAGUGGUCCAUAAGUGAUCCCACAUGUAAUGGCCCAGACACUACUGAAACUUCAGUCAGUGUCUCACUACAAAGUUUCAAAGGGCUCUUUGCUAUAACUGGCGCCAUCACAUCUUCAUGCUUACUAAUUUUCAUAGCCAACUACGUUUACAAAAACAGAAGUUCUCUUCAGCAAAUUUUGAAUUCCAGAACUACCGCUUGGUCCAAAAUUAAAGAAAUAGUGACACACUUUGACCAAAGAGACCUCUCGUCUCAUCCUUCUAUCAUGGAAAGAGACCCGAAGUUUAAGUAUCCAAAACCAGAAGUAGCAGAAAUUGUUUCGUCAUCAGAGUCUGUUGACUUGUCCAACACUAAUCUAACGGUACACAGUCUGCCCAUGAAUAUUCUUUCCACUCAAUUCAACAACGUUGCAGUGCCAAACAUACCUACAGAUUCAACUUUUUCAAACUCUACUGUUGUGUCACCUGUUUCGGAAGAAGAAUCAAACACCGCCAUUGACGCCUCUGACAGCUGACAACAGCAAUGCAAAAUCAGACUCCUAGCAUCUGCUCAUCAGUCACAAUAGUCGUAUAGAUGUACAGUAUAUUGGCAUGUAAAAUCCCAGGUCAUGAUAUGUAGAUGCAGAAUUUAGAUGUCGCAAAAAUAGGAAGAAUAAAGAUCAGGGUGUUUAGCAUCUUUCAGAACUUGAUAUCAUGUCCCCAGUAGUAACUGUAACCUGCCAUGGAUCUAGGAAACCAGCUUGCACUCAGUACAACAACAACAACAAACCCAGUGUAUUCCCACAUAGUGAGGUCUGGCUUGCACUCAGUACUAAAAGAAAAAAAUAAUGUGCACCGCGUCACCUACCAUGAUUACAAAUGAACCCACACACUGUCACCACAACCCAGUUCCCCAAUAAAAUUGAUCAGAGAAAAGAACAUCACAAAAAAGAGACUAUAUUUACUUACUUUCAGUAGGUUUGUUCUGGAAGGAUUGAAAAGAAAGCAACAGAAAGCAGGUAUUAGAUUCCUUAUCCCUAGAUUUCUCCUGCACCAGCUAUCAAUUACUGCAAAUGAUUAUAGAGUUUUACCAAAGAAAAAGAAAGGGAAAAAUACACAAGAAAGCUUCUUUUAGUGAAGUAAUUAUACAAUUGCAGAUAGCUAGGGAGAUAGCGAUAUGGCACUAACAUAAUAGAUCCUGCUAAGAAUUGCAAAAGAAAUUGCUUUUUGCUGACAAUAUGAUUAACUAAGAUGAACAUCAUUAAGUUAUCUUUAGUUUUCAUCCGUGUACAUGUGAUGGAAAAAAAAGAUUUACAGCUACAAGGGAUACACCUUCUCUUCCUAAACUGCACGAGUAAAUAGAUUUCUAUCUAUCCUCUAGAAAUAAAAAGAUACUGAACCUACAGGCAGCAUUUUGUAACAUGGAUGAGCAAGCUGAAAGUUAGGACUGCACUUAUCAGAAGAAUAUUGUUGUAUCUAGAACACAUCAGAAGUUUACAUGGAAUAGCAUGAUACAGUAGAUACUACAUGCCCAUGAUAGCUAGUAUUUGAUUCUUAUACUCGAACUGGACCUUGUUAAUAGCUUCACCACCUCUUUCAUAGAGGGUCUUCUGCUUACAUCCUUCUCUGUACAUCUAAGAGCUAGUGAAAGCACUUCAAUUACUUGUUCCAUGACACUUGAGUCCAUGAAUUCGUCCAAAAGGCUUGGAUCCACAAUCUCCUCAAUUUCUUCAAUUUCUGUCCAAAUAGACCUAACCCAACUGACAAUAUCUGUAUCCCCAUACAAUGAAGGAUCCAAGGCCUUCUUUCGAGUUAUAAGUUCUAACAGGACAACACCAUAACUAUAAACAUCUGACUCCUUGCUCUUUGAAGCUGCAAAUGCAGUUUCUGUCAACAAAACAGACAAGACACAGACAAUAUUAUUUUUCUGCAGAUGACUUGGUUUCCAAUAAGAGAGCAACUGAAAGGAUGUGUGAGGAAAAAAAAUGAAAACUAGGAAGAUACCUGGAGCCAUGUAUCCAACUGUACCCUGGAGGGUAUUGGAGGUGGAAGUUGCUCCAGACUGAUCAAGAAGCUUGGCAAUGCCAAAAUCAGAUAUGUGAGGCUCCAGAUCUGAGUCCAACAAGAUAUUCAUGGGCUUGAUAUCUCGAUGAACGAUUGCAGGAUCACAGUCAAAGUGGAGAUAUGACAACCCUUGAGCAGUUCCAAUAGCAAUUCGGUACCGAACACUCCAUUCUAAUGCUACAGGUGGAUUAAUCUCAUGGAGAAUAUCAUGAAGGCUCCCGUUCUCCAUGUAGUUAUAAAGAAUCAGUCCAUAAUCCUUUCUCAGCCAGAAGUCUUCUAAUUUGACAAGAUUGCGGUGUCUAACCUUUCCAAUUGUCUGAAUUUCCCUAACCAUACUUGUGCUUCCAUCCUUUAUACCAACAAACACCAGCUUCUUCACGGCAUACACUUUCCCUGGACCCAAGAUGGCCUUAAAUACAAUUCCAUGUGCUCCCCUCCCAAUGACAUACUUAUCAUUUAGGUUCUCUGUAGCUUCCAAUACUUUAUUAAGCAGGGAUGAAGCACCUUCUUGAGCACAGAUUGCAACUCCUUUCCCAGAAUUUUUGCGCCACAGAAGCAUGUAAGCAAUUACUAGGAGUAAGCAAAUGGUAAAUAACAGUACCCCAAGUGCAAUCAUUGUCGUUUCUGCUCCACUUAGGUGUCUUCCAUUUUUUGAUUGGAGAUCACAAGGCCUUAGAGUGCCAUUCUCAGGGCAAUUUGAGCCUUUUUCUGGAUCACAGUGCACGCAAAGGCCAAAGUUUCCCGAGAAAGAGGUAGGUGUUGAGUUUAGGAACUUCAUCAAAUUUGCAGGUACUGGACCAGAAAAGAGGUUGUGUGACACAUUGACGAAGAUCAAUGAACGCAUCCCCUCAAAAAUUCUUAAAGUUCCAGUAAUAUUGUUUCCAGCUACAUCUAACUUCUCCAGGAAAGUAAAUUUCCCUAGCUCUGCAGGAAUUUCACCUGUCAACCCGUUACUACUCAGAUUCAACAACCUCAGUGUUUCUCUUGAUGAAGUCGCAAUUGCUGAAUGAAUUUCACCACCAAGUGCAUUUCCGCCAAGCUGCAGCUCAGACAGCUUCUUGAGUUCAAACAAGGAGGUUGGAAUACCUCCUGAAAGAUUAUUCUCACUCAGACUCAAAAUGGAUAGCUCUCCCAAGCUUCCAAACGUGGAUGGGAUCGAUCCACUCAACAAAUUAUGGCUUGCAUCAAACUGCAACAGUCUCUGCCAGUUUGAAAGUUGAGAUGGCAGUACACCUUCCAAACUAUUGUACGACAAAUCAAGAACCUGGAGGUUGACAAGGUUUGCCAGCUCUGGUGGUAUAAACCCCGAGAGCUUAUUCACUGAUAAGUCAAUUAAUGUAACAUUUCCAAGAUUUGCCAAACUUGGGGGUAUUCUCCCACUGAAGCCAUUUUCACUGAGAUCCAAGAAAAUAGGAUUUAUAUUCUUACCAAAAUCUGGAAUGGCACCUGAGAGUUUAUUCUUUUUGAGAAUUACUCUCGCCAAAGUAGCACACUUACCUAAUUGAGAAGGAAUGCCACCUUCAAAAUGAUUAUAACCUAGCAUAAGUUUCUGUAGUUUCUUGCCAAAACAAAGAUUAGGUGGAACAGGACCUGUGAAGGCGUUGUUCGUGAAAUCCAGCAGCGUUAGACUGCUGUUAAUCCCCAAACCUUGAGGUAUAACUCCAGUGAACCGGUUGUCAAAUAAAGAUAUGUUCUUCAGUUGUUUCAACUCGGUCAUUUCAAGAGGUACCUCCCCGGUCAGGUUGUUCCGAUAGACAAGAAAAUGUUGAAGACUUUGAAUCUUCCAAAUGGCACGGGGAAUCUCGCCGCUCAAUUUGUUGGAAUAUAGAGCGAGAUACUGCAACUGGCUGAGUGACCCUAGUUCACUAGGAAUUUCACCUUCCAGUUGGUUUUCUGGUAAAAGUAAUUCCAGCAAGGACUGGCACUUCCCCAGCUCAGGUGGUAUUUUUCCAGAGAAAUUGUUGUCAGCAAGGUAAAGCUUCUCUAACUUUGUGAGCUGGCCUAGAGAAGCAGGUAUAGGGCCACUUAAACUAGAAGAGAAAGCAGCAAGAACUCGUAGGUUAGUACAAUUGCUCAAACUUGGUGGAAGAUUUCCAUUUAAAUUGUUGGAUGACAAGACCAAAGUGUCAAGAUCUUUGCAGUUCCCACCUAAACUGAAAGGGAUACUUCCUUGUAGUCUAUUACUGCUUAAGUCCAAAUAAACAAGGUGUUCUAGCUUAUCUAAAUUCUCAGGCAAACUACCAACUACAUUGUUUUCAUUCAAAUACAGUUCUUGCAAGUUAGUACAGUUACUAAUGGAAGACGGAAUUGGACCGAACAACUCAUUGUCAUAAAGAAAGAGAGACACAAGCUUAGUCAAGUUGCCAAUGCGAGAUGGGAUGGAACCAUUUAACCUGUUUUGGAAAAGGUAAAUGGAGUCCAAAUGUGGGAUAGAAAACAAGGAAUCAGGAAUAUUACCAGUCAAUGAAUUAGCGUAGAGGCUUAUGUAGGUCAACUUGUGUAAAUUUCCAAUCUUUGAAGGGAUUUCUCCAGUAAAGGUGUUGUAGGACAGGUCCAAGUAAUCAAGAAGAGUGCAAUUUACGAGUUGAGAAGGAAUAGGGCCAAAGAAAGCAUUAUAGCUCAGAUCAAUGGUACGCAAGUGCUCCAAAUAAGCAAUUUCAGGACCCAAUUGGCCAGAGAUUCCAUAGCCAGAGAGGUUCAAAGAAGUGACAAGGUGAGUGGUAUCACAUUCCACACCAACCCAAGAACAGGGAGUGGAAUCUGAAGCAUUCCAAGAAGACUUAACAGAGGAGGGCACAGCAGUCCAGUGCCUGAAAAGGGAAAGUAGAACUGUGCCAUGGGAAUUGAGAGCACAAACCGACACAGAGAAGCAGCAAAGGUAGAAAAAGAUGACAUUUUUGACAUCAAUCUUCAUAAUUUGAACAAGAAUAAGAGUGCUAUUAAGCUAGCUGGAUAUAAACAAGAAAUGUUUGUGGGAAGCAGGAAGAAAUUUGAGGUGUAAUUUAAGGAGGGGAAAAGGAAAUGGGAAUUUUCUUGAACAGCGUGAUGGUCGUCUAAGUGUGAAAGGAAAUGGGAACAUGUUGAGAAAACACCGCUGCGUCAAAGGGAUAAAUAUGAAAAUAGUGUGCUGCUUUAACUACCUUAGAUCAGUAGAGGAGAGGGGGGAGUUAAAAGUAGGAGGAUUUUCUUUUUUAAAGAUAACGAAAUGUUCGAUGAUGGUGGAACGAACUUUAAUAAAGAAAUGUUCCGGCAGAAAUGUGGUCCCCACCAUUCCGUUCAUCUGUGUGCGUAUGGACUCUUUUUGACCACUUCCUUGUCUAAUUCAGUGACUGCCUCUGUCGUCUGUGUUUCUGGGGGAUUAAUUAAUAUUAAUUUUUUGUAUAAUUGCAGUGCUAUGUUCGUAGCUUAAUUAGAUAGAUGACAUUUUGCUUGCCGAUAACUAGUUUUGCAACAACUGCAGUACCAUCAUUUCAAGUGGACAAUCUCAAAACAAAGUGACCGGCCUAAACUUGGUGUACAUUUGUACGUCUUCAAAUUUUGUCAUUUUAAAAUACUAGAAAUAAGGGAAUAAAAUUUAAAAAAAAAAAAAAAAAUUACGGAUGGGCAUUGAACAGGGCAGCAAGGCUGCUUUGGAAUUUUUAAAAAAUGGGGAAAAAGAAAGCAAAAGACGCUUGUUGAGAGCUAAGAGGACAUAGGACCAGUUCUCAAACAAGUGAACCAAUCCAUCUCCUUCGACCAUAAGUGCCUUCAAAUAAUAUAUUUUAAUAUACAACCAAUCCUUUUUUUUUUUUAUUUUUUUUUAUUUUACACAAAUUCGCCCCUAUGUGAACUGGGUCUGGGUAUGUUGUAGCGUGUGAAAAUGUCACAUAUUCAUUGCUUUCAUGUAAACACCAGGAGCGAAUCAUGUGCUGUGCUUACUAGUCACUCGAACAUAACAAGACACUGAUAACUUGCAUAAAUUUUAUGAUAAUUAUGCAGUAAUAAUAAUACAAGUGACCUUACAUAAAGAUCACGUAUUUCAAAGAUAUUUUUGUAAAACUAUUGUACCCAAGAAAAAAGAAAAACAAUACAAAUAUCACCUAAUGCCACCAACCAACCAAACACUGCAUUAGUAAAGAUAUAAAUGAUUUCACAUAGCCAACGAUACGCUGCAUAAUCAUUCGGAGAUCAUCUUUUCAGUCCCUCCAACCAAACAGUCCAUUGAUAAAACUUAGGCAAUGCACCAUUCCGAAGUUUUAACCAAUGAAAUCAAGUUAGAUGGUUAUAACCUCUAAAUUAAAUAAAAGAACAAAUACUGGCUGAUUUAGAAUCUUCCGGAUUUUCUGAUCCUACAAAAUCCUUUAACUAUUGCUCUUCAAAGUCGCUCACUCUAAAUUGUAACACAUCAUAUAUCCAACCAAAGCCAACCAUGAAACUCAAGGAGUCCAAACGUUUGAUUGCAGUUGGACUAUUGAAGUCAGCUGAGAAAAAAGGAAACAAGCAAGACAAGAACUAUCUUUCUCAUAGGGCGCCACAUCAACAUCUAUAUGAUAGUGCACACUCUGCUUGCGGAACAAAAUACCUGGACAAAGCAACUCCAGCAAUUGGCCAUUCCCAAGUAAGAGGAAGUCCCCUCUUUUAGCACAUAUCCUGCAUAACACAAGCACAGUGGAAUUUCCAGGAUCUGAAAACCUGGAUGUUACAGUGUUAUCAUCAGUUUUAAGUUAAAGAGGUUAAUGGAGUGACUGACAACCCUAACCAGAGAGAGUUGAGAUGGAUGAUCACAAUUUAUGAUGCAGAUUCUAUUUCACUACAUACAUAAUACAUUGAUAGAGGUGAUAGCAAGUCAUUUGAGGUUUAAAACAUAUGUUAGUACCAAAUAAAGAAAUUCUCAAAUGUAGAAUACAAUGUGACACCACAGACCAACACGAUGUAAGACCAGAAAUUAAAUGCAUCCUAUGAAAUCACAAAUGUGAACCCAGAAUAAGCCGACAAUGUUGAGAUGACAGUGCUUCAAAUGCAUGUCUAGGAUAAACUAUGAUAUGGUCCAAAAAGAUGUUCAUGUCAAGAUGACAAUGCCCAUGACUUGAUGAUAGCAAGGAUGCAUGCAACAGCUGCAUGAUGCAUUUGUAUUUAGCAGAGCAUAGAGAACAGAAUACAUCCCUGAAGCUACUGGCAGGUCAGAGGUGGAGGACCUCCAUUUGCGUUGGAGGCAACAGCUGGGUGGCCAAAGUCCUUCCGUUUCCCAAAUGGAUUCUUUGACUAUGUAGCUGAAUAUUAAGGAGAAAACAUGGUCAUCCAAAGAAUGUUAGAACAGAUUAGAUUUUUUUUUAAAAUCAGGGACAGGUUAGAAAUUUAUAAAACUCAAACUCCUAAAGGAGUACUUUGCAUGAGCCCUAUCACGCCUUUGUAGCAUAAAUUAUCAUCUCUACUUCUCACAUAGAUCGUGGUUUUAUGUAUUAGGAAAAAGGCUACAGGUAAAGUGUAAGCUUUUAAAGAAGCAUAGACCUUUCUCAAAUGUCACGUGGAGACACAAAGCACUAUCAUCAUUUUCUCUUUCCAUUUUGGAUGUUAGGAAAGAAAAAGAACAAUGGAAAAAAUUUUAAGAGGUUGGCCACAACAUUUGCAAAGGAAGAACAAGCCAACAUCAUGAAUAAAAUGCUAGUCAGGUGUCUCUCGGUUAGCAGCAAUCAUAAUGAUAUUUCAAAAACUGAGAGUUCUCCACUUCCGAAAAGCCCUAUGAAUCACAAAUUCCAAAGGGAGCUUCAGCAUGUAAAUAUUGCCCGUUCAGCGUCCCCGAAGAUAACUUUGUUCAACUAGAUUGUAUCUGUGUAAGCACAGAGCCCAUAAAAUAUUUGCCCAACAUCAAAGUUCACACUUUCAAGUCAACAGUCAGACUCAGAUCGCUAAAACAACAAAGCGGCAGAAACAAAGAGAAAAGGAUGAUUAUGAAAUAUCAAGAUCCAGAAGAUGAGACAGCUAAACAAGAAGAAAGG
rnacentral:lncRNA from 1 species